rnacentral:rRNA from 1 species
AUCUACAGCCAUACCACCCUGAAAGCACCGGGUCUCAUCUGAUCUCAGAAGCUAAGCAGAGUCGGGCCUGGUUAGUACUUGGAAGGGAGAAUGGCUUGCAGUUGGAAAUA